UGCCAGACUCCUACGGGAGGCAGCAGUGGGGGAUAUUGCACAAUGGGGGGAACCCUGAUGCAGCGACGCCGCGUGGGUGAAGGAGCGUUUCGGCGCGUAAAGCCCUAUCGGCAGGGAAGAAGGAGGACGGUACCUGACUAAGAAGCCCCGGCUAACUACGUGCCAGCAGCCGCGGUAAUACGGAGGAUGCGAGCGUUAUCCGGAUUUAUUGGGUUUAAAGGGUGCGUAGGCGGGCUUUUAAGUCAGCGGUAAAAAUUCGGGGCUCAACCCCGUCCGGCCGUUGAAACUGGGGGCCUUGAGUGGGCGAGAAGAAGGCGGAAUGCGUGGUGUAGCGGUGAAAUGCAUAGAUAUCACGCAGAACCCCGAUUGCGAAGGCAGCCUUCCGGCGCCCUACUGACGCUGAGGCACGAAAGUGCGGGGAUCGAACAGGAUUAGAUACCCGCGUAGC
rnacentral:rRNA from 1 species